rnacentral:rRNA from 1 species
UACGGAGGGUGCAAGCGUUAUCCGGAUUUAUUGGGUUUAAAGGGUCCGUAAGCGGAUCUGUAAGUCAGUGGUGAAAUCUCACAGCUUAACUGUGAAACUGCCAUUGAUACUGCAGGUCUUGAGUGUUAUUGAAGUAGCUGGAAUAAGUAGUGUAGCGGUGAAAUGCAUAGAUAUUACUUAGAACACCAAUUGCGAAGGCAGGUUACUAAGCAACAACUGACGCUGAUGGACGAAAGCGUGGGGAGCAAACAGG